GCGAAGAACCUUACCACUUCUUGACAUGGAGAUUAGAUCCUUCUUAACAGAAGGGCGCAGUUCGGCUGGAUCUCGCACAGGUGCUGCAUGGCUGUCGUCAGCUCGUGUCGUGAGAUGUUGGGUUAAGUCCCGCAACGAGCGUAACCCUCAUCCUUAGUUGCCAGCGGGUUAAGCCGGGCACUUUAAGGAGACUGCCAGUGGUAAACUGGAGGAAGGUGGGGAUGAUGUCAAGUCAGCACGGCCCUUAUGGGGUGGGCUACACACGUGCUACAAUGGUGACUACAAUAGGUUG
rnacentral:rRNA from 1 species